UGGGAGAACGGAGAGACCCAUUUAUAAGAAUAAGAAAAAGGAGGCGGAAUUGAUUGAUUGUAAUGCAGGUAUGUAAAAAAUAUAUGACUACUUUGUAGUCAUAUAUUUAAAGUAAUAGCUUGAUGCGUGUUUCAAAGAUUGUUUUUCAUAAAAGCUUCAAACAAACAGAGGUGACUGAUCUCGGAAACGGUUUAAUGCAUUUAAAAAUGGCUACAGGUACCGUCAGCAUGCUUGCUAGGUAGAGUACGGUAACAAGUACACGUGGCUACUGUAGCAUUAGCCUAUCUUUCUGACAGUGUCAACAAACAUUGAAAAAUAAGCGUUGUAAAAGCAGAAUUUAUGGCAGAGUUGUUGCGUUUGAUCAACUUGGAUUGGACCUGGGUUGAAAUGAUGUCGUACUAGUUGGUUUUAUAAACCUGACAUACUUGUUAUCUCAUGAUAAUGCAGCACAUGAAGGCUACAGAUGUCUUAUAAUGAAUAUCAUCAAGUCAGUGAUUACAGAGUCCACUGUAGUUUGGUGACUGUUACUCAUCCUGUAUUCUGAUUAAUAUUCCUCUCACUUAGAAACUGAUCAAACUGAUGGCAGCCUUAGAGCGUUGCAGGCACGAAUAGAGGAGCUUGUCGUCAUCAUCAGAGUGCGAACACAAAGUCUUUACAGACAAAAUGGUAAGAGGCGACACAGAAUUCGCAAGGUCAUCUUAGAUGAGAAGAAACGCUUGGCGGCUGCUGUUGACGACUACAACAAGCUUGCUGAACCAACAAAGCAAAUCGUAUCCAGUGAUGCCCUCAAGCAGACCGACAUUUGGCCCUGGCAGAGCACAAGUGAACGUAAGCUCUUGAUUUAUAAAUAUCCUUUUUAAACAAACUCCCAGUAUCUGAGCAGUAGUUGAAUGUUUUGUUCUUGAAUCAUAAUAUGCUACUAUGUUUUCCCAUCUGAUGUUGUUAAACUGUAGCUGCUGCAGACCUCCAGACAAAGAGAAAGGUCUUUGAGAAGGUGAUGGCUGUGAGGCGCCUGAGAGAGGAGAUGAUCCUUUGCAGGGAGAUGCGGCAUCACUGGAUAGUGUUGCGAAUGCGAUCUGUGGUGUUGGGGACAAUCUCCUCAGACUCCUCCCUUGUUGGCAUGUCAGAGGAUGCACAGAAGGGACUCUGUAGCCUGGUUUUAAAAAAACAAAGUGAACUGAAAGUUGAAAUGCUCAAAGUAAAGUACAAGAGAAUCCUCAGCCACCAACCACUCCUGGAAAUGGACUCGGAGGAGGAAGACAUUCCAGACGAUGCCACUGAGAGUGAUUUGAGCACUUCUGUGGAAGACUGAUUGUGUCAUCAUUGAUGUUAUGUUUGGUAAAAUAAAAAGUUAAUCACAUUUCUGUUUAAUGUGAUUUUUACAAUGUCUGUUUUAGAAAUUGCUUAUCAUCAACAGACAUUUUACAUGUUGAGUUGAAAAAUGGAAUUCCCUUGGUGCAGUUGUUU
rnacentral:lncRNA from 1 species